rnacentral:rRNA from 1 species
UGGGGAAUCUUGGACAAUGGGCGCAAGCCUGAUCCAGCCAUGCCGCGUGAGUGAUGAAGGCCUUAGGGUCGUAAAGCUCUUUCGCCAGAGAUGAUAAUGACAGUAUCUGGUAAAGAAACCCCGGCUAACUCCGUGCCAGCAGCCGCGGUAAUACGGAGGGGGUUAGCGUUGUUCGGAAUUACUGGGCGUAAAGCGCACGUAGGCGGAUCAGAAAGUAAGGGGUGAAAUCCCAGGGCUCAACCCUGGAACUGCCUCUUAAACUCCUGGUCUUGAGUUCGAGAGAGGUGAGUGGAAUUCCGAGUGUAGAGGUGAAAUUCGUAGAUAUUCGGAGGAACACCAGUGGCGAAGGCGGCUCACUGGCUCGAUACUGACGCUGAGGUGCGAAAGUGUGGGGAGCAAACAGGAUUAGAUACCCUGGUAGUCCACACCGUAAACGAUGAAUGCCAGUCGUCGGGUAGCAUGCUAUUCGGUGACACACCUAACGGAUUAAGCAUUCCGCCUGGGGAGUACGGUCGCAAGAUUA